UCAGUUUCAACAAGAGAAAAAAAUUAGGCAGAGUAUGUCACACUUGAUUAAUCUUACCAAAGUUUCUCCUCUUUUCUCAGUUUCAACAAGAGAAAAAAAAUUAGACUGAGUACAUCACACAAGAUCAAUCUUACCAAAGUCUCUCCUCUCUUUUCAGUUUCAACGAGAGAAGGAGACCACAAAUUAACCAGCUCGUGCAUCGUUUUCUAUGUGUGAACGAGUCUGUCAUGGCUUGGAAGACCCCGCCAACUGUACCUCUCUCUCUCUGUCUCUCCUCACGACGGUUUAUAUGUGUGGAAAGGACAGAACACAAACUAACGAGGAAAUGAAGAUUGUUAAAGCGCAGAAAGAGAAAGGAAGAGGAGGAUAUUGAAGUAGAGAGACUCGCCCAGCUGUCCACCGCUUCAAGUGCUCGCAUCUGUCUGUCUGUCUGUCUGUCUGUGAGUACCAUAUGUUUGUACUGAUGCAUGAACCGGCACCUUCAGAGGAAUGCAUACUUAUUUUUGUGUGUGUAUCUAUAGGUCUUGUUUACUCCUUUCUCCCCUAGACUCUAUAUUAUCCUCUUUUUUUUCUUCCUCCUCCCAGUUACGUGCUUAAAUUUUACGUUAUUCAUCUAC